GACCGCGUAGCUCAGUUGGAAGAGCAUUGGGCUAGUAUUCCAAAGGUCGUAGGUUCGAAUCCUACUGUGGCCG